rnacentral:misc_RNA from 1 species
AAAGUAAGCACUGAGACCUGGCCCCUUUUUUUAGGGCUCUACUUGAUAUCGUUGGCCUGUAAGAUAGUACUGGUAUUAGAAAUUGAGCAGCCACGUGCCCACCCACGUGCUUGCUACAAAGUGGUAUUGGUGCAGCUGUUUAUUGGCUCGAGGAAGCAAAGCCGUCAGAUCCCGAGUUUUCUUCAAGCACCAUCAGACUUCUGAA